rnacentral:rRNA from 1 species
CCUACGGGCGGCAGCAGUGGGGAAUAUUGGACAAUGGGGGGAACCCUGAUCCAGCGACGCCGCGUGAGUGAAGAAGUAUUUCGGUAUGUAAAGCUCUAUCAGCAGGGAAGAAAGAAAUGACGGUACCUGACUAAGAAGCCCCGGCCAACUACGUGCCAGCAGCCGCGGUAAUACGUAGGGGGCAAGCGUUAUCCGGAUUUACUGGGUGUAAAGGCAGCGUAGGCGGGGAUGCAAGUCUGAGGUGAAAGGCGGGGGCCCAACCCCUGGACUGCUUUGGAAACUGUAUGGCUGGAGUGCAGGAGAGGUAAGUGGAAUUCCUAGUGUAGCGGUGAAAUGCGUAGAUAUUAGGAGGAACACCAGUGGCGAAGGCGGCUUACUGGACUGUAACUGACGUUGAGGCUCGAAAGCGUGGGGAGCAAACAGGAUUAGAUACCCGAGUAGUC